rnacentral:lncRNA from 1 species
ACUAUACCUCUGGUCUCUAUCACUUUUCGCACCUCCAUAGCUCACACUGUCACCUUCCUCCCUCUCCCGCUCUCUCUUCUCGUUCCUUCCCUCUUCGACUUCUCUCUCUCGAAUCUUCUAUCACUGGCUUCCUCUUCCUCUUUCCUGUUCUCCCCUUUUCUUUCCUCCUCUGUUUUUCAUUUUUCAUUUUUUUUUUCUUUUAUUUUCUUUUUUUUUCCUUCCUCCUAUUUAUACUCCACCUACUACUCAUCCUAGCCAUCCAUCUCAUCUCACCAUCUACACUCAUCCUAGCCAUCCAUUCCCUCUCACAAACCCCACCUAUCUUGG